rnacentral:rRNA from 1 species
AUUGAACGCUGGCGGCAGGCCUAACACAUGCAAGUCGAGCGGAUGAGUGGAGCUUGCUCCAUGAUUCAGCGGUGGACGGGUGAGUAAUGCCUAGGAAUCUGCCUGGUAGUGGGGGACAACGUUUCGAAAGGAACGCUAAUACCGCAUACGUCCUACGGGAGAAAGCAGGGGACCUUCGGGCCUUGCGCUAUCAGAUGAGCCGAGGUCGGAUUAGCGAGUAGGUGAGGUAAUGGCUCACCUAGGCGACGAUCCGUAACUGGUCUGAGAGGAUGAUCAGUCACACUGGAACUGAGACACGGUCCAGACUCCUACGGGAGGCAGCAGUGGGGAAUAUUGGACAAUGGGCGAAAGCCUGAUCCAGCCAUGUCGCGUGUGUGAAGAAGGUCUUCGGAUUGUAAAGCACUUUAAGUUGGGAGGAAGGGCAGUAAGCUAAUACCUUGCUGUUUUGACGUUACCGACAGAAUAAGCACCGGCUAACUCUGUGCCAGCCGCCGCGGUAAGAC